rnacentral:rRNA from 1 species
ACGAACGCUGGCGGCGUGCUUAACACAUGCAAGUCGAACGGAAAGGCCCUGCUUUUGUGGGGUGCUCGAGUGGCGAACGGGUUAGUAACACGUUAGUAACCUGCCCUUGACCUUUGGUUAACUUCAGGAAACUGGGGCUAAUACCGGAUAGGAGCUCCUGCUGCUUGGUGGGGGUUGGAAAGUUUCGGCGGUUGGGGAUGGACUCGCGGCUUAUCAGCUUGUUGGUGGGGUAGUGGCUUACCAAGGCUUUGACGGGUAGCCGGCCUGAGAGGGUGACCGGCCACAUUGGGACUGAGAUACGGACCAGACGCCUACGGGAGGCAGCAGUGGGGAAUAUUGCACAAUGGGCGGAAGCCUGAUGCAGCAACGCCGCGUGCGGGAUGACGGCCUUCGGGUUGUAAACCGCUUUCGCCUGUGACGAAGCGUGAGUGACGGUAAUGGGUAAAGAAGCACCGGCUAACUACGUG